rnacentral:rRNA from 1 species
UACGUAGGUGGCAAGCGUUGUUCGGAAUUAUUGGGCGUAAAGAGCGUGUAGGCGGCCAGGUAGGUCCGCUGUGAAAGUCCGAGGCUCAACCUCGGAAUGUCGGCGGAAACCCUCUGGCUAGAGUCCGGAAGAGGAGAGUGGAAUUCCCGGUGUAGCGGUGAAAUGCGCAGAUAUCGGGAAGAACACCCGUGGCGAAGGCGGCUCUCUGGAACGGUACUGACGCUGAGACGCGAAAGCGUGGGGAGCGAACAGG